rnacentral:lncRNA from 1 species
UGAUUCCGAUUGAGGACCGUGACCGGGCGAUUCCCGAGCGCCUACGCCUGUGCGGCGAGUCCAAUAGGGGACCGGGGCACAGCGAUUCCGAUUGAGGACCGUGACUGGGCGAUUCCCGAGCAUCUAUGCCUGUGUGGUGUAAUAGUGAAGGGAUUGUCGGUGUCCCUUAUGUGGAGGAAGAAUGAUUCUGUUGGGCCCUAGGAGUAUAUAUAUAUAUAUGGUUGAUACACUAAAAUUGGAUCUUUGUCUACUGUCAAGUUAACAGUGUAGUUUUAAUAUGUUUAGAUUCAAUUCCAGAGGACCAAUUUACACUUUAUCUCUAUGGGAUCAGAAUUAAGCUAAAACAAAGUGGGGAUUUAAAAGAUGUAAAUAACGUAAAGAACAAAUAACUAGAUUAGGUUGUUUUCGAAUUGGUUUAAAGCGCUAGUCUAGGGUUUCUUCUCCAGAUAAGGAGCUCGUAAGCCAAGCUAUUACUCAAGUUCAAUUAAUCAGCAAGCCUAAACUCGGAUCACUCAUGUAGAAUGGAUCCAUUCUCGUGGUAUCGAUUUCUUUACAAGUCGGUCUUGAUACCUAAACUCUCGUUUGGGUCAAGACGCGCGAGCAAGCCUUAGAGAUCAAGUCCGAUAGGUUCACAAUGCACUCUAAUAUCUACUCUCGCUGACUAGGGAUGCAAAGCUCAUUCAAAUCAUGUCAAGUUAUCAAUCAACGGCUAGCUAAAUUGAUUAACCCUAGUUCAUGCACUAAGUGAUCAGUUUGAUGCAAGCAAUAAGAACAGAUAUGAAUGUAGACAAUCUUUAGAUAACUUAUUUAAACUUAGCUCACGAUUCCAAACCCUAAGAACCCCUAAACUAACUGGGUGACUACUCAGACAUUACACAAGAACAGAGAACCAUGAUUUCUGAAUAAUACUGCGUAAUAAUAAAUCAUGGUAACAAGAGGGUUCAGGAUAAUCUUCUCUCUGAGAUAGAUGGAGCCGUCUCCCUUACAAUGGCAAAUCGCCAAAUUCAAAGCUCUCUAGUCUUUCUUGCGUAAAAACUAAGGUAGGUCUAAAGUAAUAAAUAGGAAACUAUAUAUAUUGGAACCACAGGCGGCUAAAGGAAAGAAAUAGGAAAUCUAGGGCAAAUCCCGAAAUAAUUGGAAACUUCCUUUUUAUUCUUUGUCGCUGGAACAUGCACUCAGGCUGCUCCGCAUGGCUGUUCCGUGUAAAAGACCCCAAAUCAUACUUUUCUCUCUUCUUUUCCUCUAGAUGGUCCAUUUCCCAUCCAAUGCAAUUCCAGACCUGUUUUGACUCGAGAAGGACUAAACAGACUCGAUAAAACCUUGAAAACUAUUAGUAAAUCAUACAUAUAAUG